GAUGAACGCUGGCGGCGUGCCUAAUACAUGCGAGUCGAACGAGGUCUUCGGACCUAGUGGCGAACGGGUGAGUAACACGUUGGUACCUACCCCGAAGUGGGGAAUAACUGCCCGAAAGGGUGGCUAAUACCGCAUAAUACCGCAAGGUUAAAGCAGUAAUGCGCUUCGGGAGGGGCCUGCGUCCCAUUAGCUAGUUGGUAGGGGAAUGGCCUGCCAAGGCGACGAUGGGUAGCUGGAUCGAGAGGUUGACCAGCCACACUGGGACUGAGAUACGGCCCAGACUCCUACGGGAGGCAGCAGUAAGGAAUCUUCCACAAUGGACGAAAGUCUGAUGGAGCAACGCCGCGUGCAGGAUGACGGCCUUCGGGUUGUAAACUGCUUUUAUACGGGAAGAUUAUGACGGUACCGUAUGAAUAAGGACCGGCUAACUACGUGCCAGCAGCCGCAGUAA
rnacentral:rRNA from 1 species